rnacentral:lncRNA from 1 species
AAAUUGGACUUUGCCAAUAACGUUCAGCUCUCCUUGACGCUGGCAGCCCUGUCUUUGGGCCUGUGGUGGACAUUUGACCGCUCAAGGAGCGGCCUCGGGCUCGGGCUCACCAUCGCCGUCCUCGCCACGCUGAUCACGCAGCUGCUGGUGUACAACGGGGUCUAUCAGUACACGUCCCCGGACUUCCUCUACAUCCGCUCCUGGCUCCCGUGUAUUUUCUUCUCGGGAGGCGUGACAGUGGGAAACAUAGGACGACAGCUGGCCAUGGGUGGUCCCGAAAAGCCACACAGCGACUGAGUCUUCAGACCCGCGGACCCUGCCGCAAGGCCGGGGCGGGGAGGCUGUGCUUCGGGACUGUGCCACGGCGGCCUGUCUGCCUCCUCAUCUCCUUAGAUCGGGCUGACUGCGAGGGACUCCUGGACAAAACGUGGCCUGCUCAGAGUAGCCAGGCGGAAAGAAGGAUCACCGCGUGGGGCCGCGGCGCCGCCGGGGCGCCUGCUCUGGAGCCACCGGGCGCAGGGUCCCGAGGAUUUGGUUUCCUUUGUUAUUAAAAGCAAGUCGCCAUAUUUCAAAGCCUUGACCUCCAGCCUCACUACCAGCUCGGGGCGUCUCGGCGCCCAGGGGGUAGCACGACGGUGCUUUUACAAGGAGGAGGUGUGGUCCGAUAGGAAGGUGACUCAUCCACGAGACUGUGGGACAGGGUUGUGUCAAAAAGAGAGGGCGGCGGCGGCGGCCAGCAUAGCACGGCCACCCAUCUGUAGCGCAGCGCACGACCUGGCUCUUCAUUCCCGCGAGGUGACAAUCUUCCUGAGAGCAGAGGCCACGCGCGGUCAUCGUUCUGCACUGUGAUUUGUUGGGGUUUUCCCUCCGUGUUUGUGAAGUUUAUCCAGAAUCCCGAAUCGUCCGGGAGGGAGCACCUGUCCGCCGCAUGUCUGUCCUCGCCAAACUCGGGUGUUUCUUUGCAACUCAGAACAGGAAGGACGGCUUUUUUCCACAGCCCCACGGGGUUUGCAAUCUGUGAUUGCCUUGUAAAAAGAAGAGUGCGUGUGUCACUGCAUUAAACAUCGGGUGUUUCUAAAUCCUCCAAGCCGUGGUGAGCACAAUGUAUUCAGUGACUGGCACAGACCACGUGAGACCCGGGUUGCAAGUCCUGGGUCUUCAACUUCAAGUGCAAUGUCUAUGAAAACCAAUCUGAGCCUUGUAUUCUCUUAAAUAUUUAUUUUCUUUUUUUAACAUAUGAGGUGUUCCAGAGGGUUCUCCAUUUCAGUGCUGCAUGGAGGCGAAAUUCAGCAAUAAUUUCUUUCGGUUGUGAAGUUGCUUUGUUGUGCCCUCCACUGAGCCCUGGGCCUUUGAAAUACUCCAGUUUUGUGGGUUUAGGAAACUCGUCAUUUUUACUUACAAAUUUACCUUUUUGUAUUUUGCAGUUUAAAUGUUUUGGUUGUUUUCAGUUCCGUGUAAGUGGCUUGAUGAGAAGACUCCUCUAGAGCAGCAGCCGGUGGUCAGCGGGACGGGACAGGGGGGCUCUGGCGGCAGCUGGCCACUUGAGGGAUGGGCCUUGUUGCGGUUUGGUUUGGUUUUGAGGAAGAUAUCCUGGGGUCAAUUACAGGUUACCGUAGCGAAUUUGUUUUAGGGGAAUUGUGUUUAAAAGAAAAUGGGAUCUCUCUGCACUUUGCAGAGACCCCGUCUCCAUUUUCUGCAAACGAAAAUGAUCAGCUCCGUGAAACGCCUUUUCAAUGACGAUGUCAGCAUUUUAUGAAAAACCAGAAGUUGUCAGGCGAAAGCAGUCAUUGGUCCUUUCAAAUGUACUUGAUCGCACACAAACAAGAAGUAUUUUCUUCUCUUAAACUGGAAAUCUGUAUCUUUAGAAAUAAUGUAGCCAAAAGAUGUGAACCUGAAGAAUUCUGUUGCCAAGACUUUAUAGCAAGUAUGUGAACCAAAGUGAUCUGAGCUUGUAAAAAUGUAAGAGGAUGAACGCGGCAAAAUUUGCACUAUCAGAUUUGAACAUCCAGUGAGAUUCACACUCAUACUAAGUUUUCAGCAUUGUGUUCUUUUGCAUUCUUUUUUUACUUUUAUUAAAGGUUCAAAACCACCAUUGUAUUUAUGGGCUUUUCUUUGAAAACACGGGAGGGAAGUGUUCUCUGUGUAGGAUGUUUGAUUUGGGAUGGAAAAAUAUUUUAUGGCGCUUCAAAAUAUACUGAGUAUCCG